rnacentral:misc_RNA from 1 species
AAAAAAAAAAAGGAAAGAAAGUGAAGUUUGCCAAUGGAAAUAAGAUGGAUGUCGAAGGUGUUGGUAUAGUGUAGAUCAAGCUGCAUGGUAAUUGUGUAAAAUUGUUAGAUGAAGUGAGGUAUGUUCUUAAAUUGACAAGAACUUAAUUUCCUUGAGUAAGCAAGAUUGUUUGGGUUAUAGGUGUUCUAUUCAUAGUAGAGCCAUAAGGAUUAGUCAAGGUGCUCUCAUGAUCAUGAAGAGCGAGAAGAUUGGGCCAAAAAAUCUUUACAAAUUGGAAGGAAACACAUUGAUUGGAAUAAUGCAAGUUACCCAAUAGAGAAUUGACUUUUGUUGAAGUUGUGAAAACUAAUUUCAUUUGACUUAGAGGUGGAAAUUGUUAGAAUCCAAGUUUAAUUAGAACUAUGAUUGAAAAUUAAUUAGGAAGUUUUAGUUGAAAAAUAAAAUAAAAUAAAUGGUGGCAUUAAUUCGGUGGAAACCAAAUUAUAUUGCUAGUGGGAUUUAUUAUCCAAAUUUAAUUUGGACAGUGUUGGCUUAUAAAUAGGCAUGUAAUGGCCAAUGUUGAGAUGUGUAGUGCGUGGCACAUUCCAUUAAGAAUAGCGAGGGAGUUUGAUGUAGAACAAAGGGAAAGAACCAAGAAGAAGGAGAUAUCAAGGACCAAUCCUUGAAGAGAAAACUAAUUCUCAAAAUAUUAUUGAGCUCAUAAAAUUGUAAUAGAAAAUCUGAAAAAUAAUGAAAAAAAAACUAGGCCUAUGUAUAGUGUUUGUAUAACCCUAAAU